rnacentral:lncRNA from 1 species
UUUAGUCUUCUCUGUAACUUCCAAUUUAAUUGAUUUUCUGUAAAUUUACUCAUCUUCGUCAAUUGCUUUUAUAUAACUUCAAAUUCGAGUUUCUUAAUCGUGAUUUCAUAAGAUCUCUUCAAACUCUGUUUUUUAUAGAUUCGAUGUGGAGAAGGUGAAUACACUGAACAUGGAUGGGAAAUUGGGAAGAAGAAGAAGCGUUGGAUUUUGUAAAUAACGAAAGCUGAUUACAAGAAUGCUUACGUCACGCUACGUAGCCCUUUGUCGAUUUCUAAGGAUUUGUUAGGAAGAGUAAAGUGAAACGUCGUCGUGGUGGUGAAAGAGAUAUUUCUCCGACGAGGGCUGGUGCUACGGUGACGCGGCGGCAACGGCCAUGUUUCCAGUUAGGGGGUCAUGAGUAGAUUAUUGUGAUCUGGGUUUGUGUUUCCUUUAGUUUUGAUUUUGUUUCUGUUAAAAAAGACGAGCUUGAUAGUGAAUCUGAAUCAUAUAAGCUAUAUCUCAAUUAGAGGUU